rnacentral:piRNA from 1 species
UGGAAUUUCUACAUUGCCUUUGACCAUUUA